AAGUCGAACGGAGUUAUCAAUGAAACCUAGUGAUUUGAUAACUAGUCGGCGGACGGGUGAGUAACGCGUGGUAACCUGCCUUAUCCGGGGGGAUAACAGUUAGAAAUGACUGCUAAUACCGCAUAAGCGCACAGAAUCGCAUGAUUCCGUGUAGAAAAGAUUUAUCGGGAUAACGAUGGACCCGCGUCUGAUUAGCUAGUUGGCGAGGUAACGGCCCACCCAAGGCGACGAUCAGUAGCCGGCCUGAGAGGGUGAACGGCCACAUUGGGACUGAGACACGGCCCAAACUCCUACGGGAGGCAGCAGUGGGGAAUAUUGCACAAUGGGGGAAACCCUGAUGCAGCGACGCCGCGUGAGUGAAGAAGUACUUCGGUAUGUAAAGCUCUAUCAGCAGGGAAGGAAAUGACGGUACCUGACUAAGAAGCCCCGGCUAACUACGUGCCAGCCGCCGC
rnacentral:rRNA from 1 species